UGUAGUCUUUUUUUAAUACUAAGGGCCAGGCUCGAGAUUAUAUGUACAAAACUACUUAGCCAUCUGUACGCCUCUGUCAUCCCGGACUCUUCGUGUUAAGCAAACUCAGUGGAAGAAAUGUAACUUAGAUGUGAUGACUCGGUGUAUAGUACACGUAAAAGUCACUUAACCAGCCGCCUUCAUUUCCGCAACUGUCAAGAGUAGUUCGUGCUUACACUUAGGUAGUCGUUGCAAACUUAUAGAGCAGUGCGAGAAGCAAUCCCUUGUAGAGUGGACUGGCAGAGCCCGAGGAAAAUAUGUCGCUUUAAUCGACUCAGACCCAGACCCUGCGAGUCGGAUUGUUUGAACUUCUGGGGACGAGUGGUCCGCUCCUCAUCCUCUCCGCCGCCCCCCAACACCUGUCGCCUGCUGCCUCGCGGUGGCGCUGCUUCCUGCACUGAACUGGCUAGCGGGUCCUGCUGUGUUUAAACAAGACCUGGAAUAAUUGAAUGGAACGAUAAAGUACGAUGCAAACGUCCAGGAGAUCAGUGUUUGGUUUGAAGCAGACAGCGUGGUGCCCUACAUCCUGGACUAUUACCACAAAUUUGAGGCCAACUUUGGCUGCAUAAUGAUUUCCAGACCAGCCUCAGCUACAGAGUAAGAGACAGUUCUGGGAAACGGACUGGUGAGGCUCAGAACUAAUGGAGACCACCCGUGGAGAUGACCUUGUUCACCCCAGAGACUGAAGAGAGGCUUCCUGAGCUCUGAGGUUCCAGGCCCUGUUCCUGAAGCCUAGCAGCUACACGGAGGCCCCUUGGCAGCCGCAGGCUGGCUACUUACACUUGAGGAAAUAAUCCCUGGGAGCCUCGCUCUCCAGCAGGUUGGUGCUGUCAGGGUCCUGGGACUCCACAUCAGCUGCAGAAGAGGAGGUGGUGGGGAAGCCUGAAUACCUGUGGCUGGCUGCAGGGCUACCCCGUGGCAGUGCCCCGCCCCACCUGUGGAUGUAAUUCCCUCCUCUCCUUCCCUCCUCCCAAAGACCCCAGCCACUUGGUGACAAACACCGUUAUGGGACCAUGUU